rnacentral:rRNA from 1 species
GACCAGACUCCUACGGGAGGCAGCAGUGGGGAAUAUUGCACAAUGGGGGAAACCCUGAUGCAGCGACGCCGCGUGAGCGAUGAAGUAUUUCGGUAUGUAAAGCUCUAUCAGCAGGGAAGAAGAUGACGGUACCUGACUAAGAAGCCCCGGCUAACUACGUGCCAGCAGCCGCGGUAAUACGUAGGGGGCAAGCGUUAUCCGGAUUUACUGGGUGUAAAGGGAGCGUAGACGGCGAUGCAAGCCAGAUGUGAAAGCCCGGGGCUCAACCCCGGGACUGCUCUUGGAACUGCGUGGCUGGAGUGCAGGAGGGGCAGGCGGAAUUCCUGGUGUAGCGGUGAAAUGCGUAGAUAUCAGGAGGAACACCGGUGGCGAAGGCGGCCUGCUGGACUGCGACUGACGUUGAGGCCCGAAAGCGUGGGGAGCAAACAGGAUUAGAUACCCGAGUA